GGGCGCUUAGCUCAGUUGGCUAGAGCAUCCCCGUUACAGGGGGAAGGUCGCUGGUUCGAGUCCAGUAGCGCCCA
rnacentral:tRNA from 1 species